rnacentral:rRNA from 1 species
GUGCCAGCCGCUGCGGUAAUACGUAGGUGGCAAGCGUUGUCCGGAUUUAUUGGGCGUAAAGCGAGCGCAGGCGGUUUUUUUAAGUCUGAUGUGAAAGCCUUCGGCUCAACCGAAGAAGUGCAUCGGAAACUGGGAAACUUGAGUGCAGAAGAGGACAGUGGAACUCCAUGUGUAGCGGUGAAAUGCGUAGAUAUAUGGAAGAACACCAGUGGCGAAGGCGGCUGUCUGGUCUGUAACUGACGCUGAGGCUCGAAAGUAUGGGUAGCAAACAGGAUUAGAUACCCUGGUAGUCCAUACCGUAAACGAUGAAUGCUAAGUGUUGGAGGGUUUCCGCCUUCAGUGCUGCAGCUAACGCAUUAAGCAUUCCGCCUGGGGAGUACGGCCGCAAGGCUGAAACUCAAAGGAAUUGAC